rnacentral:rRNA from 1 species
UACGAAGGGGGCUAGCGUUGUUCGGAAUUACUGGGCGUAAAGCGCACGUAGGCGGAUAUUUAAGUCAGGGGUGAAAUCCCAGAGCUCAACUCUGGAACUGCCUUUGAUACUGGGUAUCUUGAGUAUGGAAGAGGUAAGUGGAAUUGCGAGUGUAGAGGUGAAAUUCGUAGAUAUUCGCAAGAACAUCAGUGGCGAAGGCGGCUCACUGGCCCGGUACUGACGCUGAGGCGCGAAAGCGUGGGGAGCAAACAGG